UAACUUUAAUGCAAAAUGACACUUGGGUCUAAAAGAGAAAUACACUCAAGGGUUCUUGCAAAAUGGAUCUUCCAUCAAGCCACAGGCAGUCUUCCGAGGGAUCAUCAGCCUAGUAUGGAGCAUCCGAGUCGAAGCCAUCAUCUUCAUAGUAUCCACUUCUUCUCCAGCUUCUUAGCAGCGGCGGGGAAAACAUAGCAGGGGUUGAAAGGAAAAACGAUGAGUACUUGCAAGUGUGGGAAAUUAUAUGACAUGAGGCCAAAACAAGGCUUACUCACCUAAGCAACUCAUCCUAAACCUUAAUUACCUUAGCACCUAUUUACUAGAUGUGAUCACCGACACCGUAAGCUCCAAACCACCAAGCCAACGCCUCGGAUUCCAUCCGAGCACCAAAACCAACACUGGAUUCCAUCCAGCAUCCAAGCCACACCAGGGUAACACCUCCCGGCCUCCAAACCAACAAUCCAUCUCCACUAAUCACGAAGAAGUCCAAGCCACUCUUGACCAUGAGCACGACUGAUAUAUCAGUUUUACACUCUGCAGAGGUUGCACUUUUUACCCACGAGUCGUGUUCCUAAAUACGCAAUGCACUUCCAAGGUGAUUAGCCAAGGUCCUACUACAAGGUCUUUCAGAAGUCGUGACUUCCCACCAGCAGACACCUACUGAGGAUUCACCGCUAACAAGGAGUCUAUUUUCCUCCACUGUAGAAACCCCCUCUUGUGCCACUCAAACCGUCCGACAAUGAAAACUAGUGGGGCAACUACUUAAUUGACCAGGUCUAGAGCCAUAUAGCCCUCGUGGUUGCGCGGUUAAGCCAGGUUACUUCUCCAUGAAACGGUCCUUCCAAUCCGAGCAGGCAACCCACGUGUCAACGACACAAACCAAAUAAAAUCCAAUUGAAUCAGAACCAUCCACCUGGUCCAUCCAUUCUACUCAGAUUCCCUAAUUACCAUGUUGCUACCAAAAGAUUACCAACCGGUUCCCAUUGCACAAACAAUUAAUCAGACCAACUCUACAAGCUAAACAUGAAACUACCCAUAACCAUCCAACCGGGGUUUCAAGGAAUAUGUUGGAAAUAUCUAGUAAACCCUAACAAGGGAUUCCAAUUUAAGACACAUCAUGCAACUAAGUCUAACUACUCUAAUAAAAUAAAAUAAAUAGGAUUAAGAAUGAUUAAGGACACUUGCCUUUAGAAGAAGAGUGUUCAGCAACUUUGAAUUGUUGAACUUGGAGGUUCA
rnacentral:lncRNA from 1 species